rnacentral:misc_RNA from 1 species
GAAGCUUCUCUGCCAGUUCGAACUGAUUACAACAAGAUCAGAACCAAUAAAAUUAGAAUAUUUUACUUAAAACAUAUGCAAGUAUGAAAAUCUUCAAUGAAAUAACUCUUUCCCAAAAUGAUUUUACACUACAUAAGGAUAUAUUCAAAGGAUUGCAACAGUUAAAGAUACAAAAAUAUUUAUCAGGCAGUAUGCUUCCCAGAGAAAUAUUAUGACUUGUAUGAUAUGCUUUGAUUUAACUGGUUUGCACAAAAUGAACUCACUAAAUAUAGCAUACAGAUAUAUAAUAUGAGAGUAAGACACAUACUAACUCAAGAUGCCUACACAGAAUACUUACCACCCGGCCCAUAGAUCAUAAAUCAUACACAAAACCACAUAAAAGUUAUUGUCCUUGAGCAAUUGACUGUAUAAACAAAGUAUUACCAGCUUUGGCAAAGCAAUUUCAUUAUAAUAUCCAUAUGCCAUUUGAAUAAGCUCAUCCACUGACUGUUGCAAGAAGUAAAUCCAACAGAUAAGCAGAAAAAAUUUGGUGCUGCAAGAACAACAGGAAGGGACAGAAACAAGCAGAAAAUUUAUAAGGAAAAAGAGACUUUCAAAAACCUUUAAAUGAAGGCCAAUUCCAGAUUCUUUCAGACAGAAGAAGGCUUCUUCAGAAAUCAAUUCCUUC